UAUAUUGUUUUCUUUUUUCUUUUAUUUGCUUGUGUAUUUGUGUUAUACUCGAGCUUUGCACUGAAAAAGAUAGUGGGACAAGCAAGGCAGAUUGUUUAUACAGGUGCUCAUCUGUGAAACUAUAGAUAGCCGGAGUCUGUAGUUGAAGUUGAAAGAAAGAAGAUUGAAGUGACCUUGAAAAUACUGGAACUGGAAAGUCUGAGCUGAUUUAGCAAAGAGUCUUGGAUAUUUAGUGGCAGUGGCUUGUUCCUUCCUAGAGC